UACGAAGGGGGCUAGCGUUGCUCGGAAUUACUGGGCGUAAAGCGUGCGCAGGCGGUUUUGUAAGCCAGAUGUGAAAUCCCCGGGCUUAACCUGGGAAUGGCAUUUGGGACUGCAAGGCUGGAGUUUGGCAGAGGAGACUGGAAUUCCUGGUGUAGCAGUGAAAUGCGUAGAUAUCAGGAGGAACACCGAUGGCGAAGGCAGGUCUCUGGGCUGAAACUGACGCUCAUGCACGAAAGCGUGGGGAGCAAAC
rnacentral:rRNA from 1 species